AUUUUGAAACUUAUGUGUAGUGUUCUCAUUGUUAGUGAGUGUGUAGGUGGG
rnacentral:tRNA from 2 species